CCCACGGGUGGCAGCAGUGGGGAAUAUUGGACAAUGGGGGGAACCCUGAUCCAGCCAUGCCGCGUGUGUGAAGAAGGCCAUCGGGUUGUAAAGCACUUUCAGUGAGGAAGAACGCCUGGUGGUUAAUACCCAUCAGGAAAGACAUCACUCACAGAAGAAGCACCGGCUAACUCCGUGCCAGCAGCCGCGGUAAUACGGAGGGUGCGAGCGUUAAUCGGAAUUACUGGGCGUAAAGCGCGCGUAGGUGGCUUGAUAAGCCGGUUGUGAAAGCCCCGGGCUCAACCUGGGAACGGCAUCCGGAACUGUCAAGCUAGAGUGCAGGAGAGGAAGGUAGAAUUCCCGGUGUAGCGGUGAAAUGCGUAGAGAUCGGGAGGAAUACCAGUGGCGAAGGCGGCCUUCUGGACUGACACUGACACUGAGGUGCGAAAGCGUGGGUAGCAAACAGGAUUAGAUACCCGAGUAGUC
rnacentral:rRNA from 1 species